rnacentral:rRNA from 1 species
UACGUAGGGGGCUAGCGUUGUCCGGAAUCAUUGGGCGUAGAGAGCGUGUAGGCGGCCCGGUAAGUCCGCUGUAAAAGUCAAAGGCUCAACCUUUGAAUGUCAGUGGAUACUGCCGGGCUAGAGUCCGGAAGAGGCGAGUGGAACUCCUGGUGUAGCGGUGGAAUGCGCAGAUAUCAGGAAGAACACCAACGGCGAAGGCAGCUCGCUGGGACGGUACUGACGCUGAGACGCGAAAGCGUGGGGAGCGAACAGG